rnacentral:rRNA from 1 species
UACAGAGGGUGCGAGCGUUGUUCGGAAUUAUUGGGCGUAAAGGGCGCGUAGGCGGCUCGCUAAGUCGGAUGUGAAAACUCCGGGCUCAACCCAGAGCCUGCAUUCGAAACUGACGAGCUCGAGUUCUGGAGGGGAAAGCGGAAUUCCUGGUGUAGCGGUGAAAUGCGUAGAUAUCAGGAGGAACACCGGUGGCGAAGGCGGAUCUCUGGGCCUUACCUGACGCUCAGGCGCGAAAGCUAGGGGAGCGAACUGG